rnacentral:rRNA from 1 species
UACAGAGGGUGCAAGCGUUAAUCGGAAUUACUGGGCGUAAAGCGUGCGUAGACGGUUGCGUAAGUCAGAUGUGAAAGCCCCGGGCUCAACCUGGGAAUUGCAUUUGAGACUGCGUAGCUAGGGUGCGGAAGAGGGAAGCGGAAUUUCCGGUGUAGCGGUGAAAUGCGUAGAUAUCGGAAGGAACACCAGUGGCGAAAGCGGCUUCCUGGUCCAGCACCGACGUCAGGCACGAAAGCGUGGGGAAGCAAACAGG